rnacentral:lncRNA from 1 species
GUGGGAUCUGUGGUUGUCUCUGGGCUGUCUGCGCCCUCUGCUGGUCAGGCUGCAGGUUCUGAUGGAGCUGACUCAGACUCUAAUGGUAAUGGACAGAAGCAACUAAAUGGAGGAGGUGCAGCAGGAGGCGGAGCUGACAGUCAAACAGGUAGGUUCAAGGGGCAAGGCUGACAGCUGAGACCAAGAACGUCAAUGACCUCUGUCUUCUCCAGGUGUUCUGGGAUCAUAUGGGGGAG